rnacentral:rRNA from 1 species
CAGCCGCCACGGUAAUACGUAGGGUGCAAGCGUUAAUCGGAAUUACUGGGCGUAAAGCGUGCGUAGGUGGUGGUUUAAGUCCGUUGUGAAAGCCCUGGGCUCAACCUGGGAAUUGCAGUGGAUACUGGGUCACUAGAGUGUGGUAGAGGAUAGUGGAAUUUCCGGUGUAGCAGUGAAAUGCGUAGAGAUCGGAAGGAACAUCUGUGGCGAAGGCGACUAUCUGGGCCAACACUGACACUGAGGCACGAAAGCGUGGGGAGCAAACAGGAUUAGAUACCCCCGUAGUCCCUGUCUCUUAUAA